CAGUAGCCACGGUAAUACGUAGGUGGCGAGCGUUGUCCGGAAUUAUUGGGCGUAAAGGGAGCGCAGGCGGUUUAGUAAGUCUGAAGUUAAAGGCAUUGGCUCAACCAAUGUAUGCCUUGGAAACUGUUAGACUUGAGUGCAGAAGGGGAGAGUGGAAUUCCAUGUGUAGCGGUGAAAUGCGUAGAUAUAUGGAGGAACACCGGUGGCGAAAGCGGCUCUCUGGUCUGUCACUGACGCUGAGGCUCGAAAGCGUGGGUAGCGAACAGGACUAGAUACCCGCGUAGUCCCUGUCUCUUAUACA
rnacentral:rRNA from 1 species